rnacentral:rRNA from 1 species
GAGUUUGAUCCUGGCUCAGGAUAAACGCUGGCGGCGUGCAUGAGACAUGCAAGUCGAACGGACGAUCGAGGCUUGCCUUGACCGUUAGUGGCGGACGGCUGAGUAACGCGUAGGUGACCUGCCCCGAAGUGGGGAAUAACUGCCCGAAAGGGUGGCUAAUACCGCAUGUGGUGGUGUGUUCAUUCACACCAGUAAAGCCGCAAGGCGCUUCGGGAGGGGCCUGCGUCCGAUUAGCUCGUUGGUGGGGUAACGGCUCACCAAGGCGACGAUCGGUAGGUGGUCUGAGAGGACGAUCACCCAGACUGGGACUGAGACACGGCCCAGACUCCUACGGGAGGCAGCAGUCGGGAAUUUUGCGCAAUGGACGAAAGUCUGACGCAGCAACGCCGCGUGAGGGAUGAAGGCC